rnacentral:rRNA from 1 species
AGAGUUUGAUCCUGGCUCAGGAUGAACGCUAGCGGCAGGCUUAAUACAUGCAAGUCGAGGGGGAUUAACUGGGUAGCAAUACUCGGUUAUGAGACCGGCAAACGGGUGCGGAACACGUACGCAACCUUCCCAAAACUGGUGAAUAGCCCUCCGAAAGGAGGAUUAAUGCACCGUAACAUAAUGAAGUGGCAUCACUUUAUUAUUAUAGCUCCGGCGGUUUUGGAUGGGCGUGCGCCUGAUUAGGUAGUUGGCGGGGUAACGGCCCACCAAGCCUGCGAUCAGUAACUGGUGUGAGAGCACGACCAGUCACACGGGCACUGAGACACGGGCCCGACUCCUACGGGAGGCAGCAGUAAGGAAUAUUGGUCAAUGGACGCAAGUCUGAACCAGCCAUGCCGCGUGAAGGAUGACGGCCCUCUGGGUUGUAAACUUCUUUUAUCUGGGACGAAAAAAGGGCUUUCUAGCUCGACUGACGGUACCAGAGGAAUAAGCACCGGCUAACUCCGUGCCAGCAGCCGCGGUAAUACGGAGGGUGCAAGCGUUAUCCGGAUUUACUGGGUUUAAAGGGUGCGUAGGUGGGUCUGUAAGUCAGUGGUGAAAUCUCCGAGCUUAACUCGGAAACUGCCAUUGAUACUAUAGAUCUUGAAUUAUCUGGAGGUAAGCGGAAUAUGUCAUGUAGCGGUGAAAUGCUUAGAUAUGACAUAGAACACCAAUUGCGAAGGCAGCUUACUACGGAUCGAUUGACACUGAGGCACGAAAGCGUGGGGAUCAAACAGGAUUAGAUACCCUGGUAGUCG